rnacentral:rRNA from 1 species
GGCGAGCGGCGGACGGGUGAGUAACACGUAGGAAUAUACCCCAGAGUGAGGGAUAACUGGCCGAAAGGUCAGCUAAUACCGCAUACGCUCUACGGAGUAAAGCAGUAAUGCGCUUUGGGAAUAGCCUGCGUCCGAUUAGCUAGUUGGUAGUGUAAUGGACUACCAAGGCGACGAUCGGUAGCUGGUCUGAGAGGAUGAUCAGCCACACUGGAACUGAGACACGGUCCAGACUCCUACGGGAGGCAGCAGUAGGGAAUUUUCCACAAUGGGCGAAAGCCUGAUGGAGCAACGCCGCGUGCAGGAUGAAGGCCUUCGGGUUGUAAACUGCUUUUAUCUGUGACGAUUAUGACAGUAGCAGAUGAAUAAGGAUCGGCUAACUCCGUGCCAGCAGCCGCGGUCAUACGGAGGAUCCAAGCGUUAUCCGGAAUUACUGGGCGUAAAGAGUUGCGUAGGUGGCAUGGUAAGUAGAUAGUGAAAGCGUUCCGCUCAACGGAAUACACAUUAUCUAAACUGCCAAGCUAGAGAAUGGUAGAGGUUACUGGAAUUCCCGGUGUAGGAGUGAAAUCCGUAGAUAUCGGGAGGAACACCAAUGGCGUAGGCAGGUAACUGGGCCAUUUCUGACACUAAGGCACGAAAGCGUGGGGAGCAAACGGGAUUAGAUACCCCGGUAGUCCACGCCGUAAACUAUGGAUGCUAGCUGUUAUAGGUAUCGACCCCUGUAGUAGCGAAGUUAACGCGUUAAGCAUCCCGCCUGUGGAGUACGGUCGCAAGACUAAAACAUAAAGGAAUUGACGGGGACCCGCACAAGCGGUGGAGCGUGUUGUUUAAUUCGAUGGUAAGCGAAGAACCUUACCAGGGCUUGACAUCCUUGGAAUUUCUCCGAAAGGAUAAAGUGCCGCAAGGAACCAAGUGACAGGUGCUGCAUGGCCGUCGUCAGCUCGUGUCGUGAGAUGUUGGGUUAAGUCCCGCAACGAGCGCAACCCUUUUUGAAUAGUUGAAUUUUUCUAUUCAGACUGCCUCGGUAACGGGGAGGAAAGGAGGGGAUGAA